GUGGGGGAAGGCAUGGUGAGGGAGGGCCAAGCAGGGGGAGGCGCGGUGGAGAAGUGGCAGGGGAGGUGUGGAGGACGGCGAGGACCUGUCGGAGUCGGCGAGGGAAGCGAACGGUGCCGAGGAAGUAGAGGUUGCCGAUUUCGUGGUGAGGUACUGCCUCGCGGAUGCGGUGAAAUGGAGUACGGCCUAGGCCACGCGGAAGAUGGGCACGGGAUGGUGCCAGAGCUCCGCACUAGACAACGCUACCGGUGACGCAGGAGGCCCGCGGAGGACGGAGUCGGCCAGGGAGGCGAAUGGCACGGAGAAAGGAAGAAUUGCCGAUUUCUUGCAGAGACACGGACAACCGCCUGGCCGAGACGGGUGAAGCUGGA
rnacentral:lncRNA from 1 species